rnacentral:rRNA from 1 species
UACGAAGGGGGGCUAGCGUUGCUCGGAAUCACUGGGUUUAAAGGGAGCGUAGGCGGCCUUGUAAGUCAGUGGUGAAAUCUCGCAGCUUAACUGCGAAACUGCCAUUGAUACUGCAGGGCUUGAGUACAGAUGCUGUGGGCGGAAUAUGACAUGUAGUGGUGAAAUACAUAGAGAUGUCAUAGAACACCGAUGCGAAGGCAGCUCACAAAACUUGUAACUGACGCUGAGGCUCGAAAGUGUGGGGAUCAAACAGG